rnacentral:lncRNA from 1 species
AUCUGGGCAAGUUUUGAAAUGAAGAUUUCCCUUUUGACGAAUCUUGAUUAUCCAGUGAAAAAGAAGGUUGAAAGAACAGUAAACGAUCAGAUUGCCGAAAUUGGAUAACCAUCCAAAAUCGCGGUCUUUAAGCACAUCCCCAUCAGAUGGACAAGGGCAUGGAUUUGCAUCAGAUGCUACUCGUAAUGAAACAAAAAAUCCCUUGAAGAGUAACCAACUGAAUGAGAGAAAUGAAUGUCAUGUAGUGGACUUGAUAAUUGGAAUGACACAGAAUCAUUAGUCCAAUCAACUAAUCCCACCAGAGUUCCAUCAUCAGGUGAUAUGAUCACAUCUGGAGCGUUCAAUAUUAGCGUCUCAAACUCCUGAUGAUGAAUUUGAGGUUGGAAGCAAAGGUUUGGAGGCAGAACGUGAUGAACCCAAGAGCAAAAAAAAGGCAAGCGAUUCUUCUACCAUCGGCUGGCGAUUGAAAGAAAAAUGAUCAUCAUACGUUUACUCAUCGAGCUCAUGAACAUUUAUGUAUAGAAGUUGGUUUUCCUUUUCCAGGAAAAAUAGGAACCAAUUAAGAAAAGAAGGCACGCGCGCUCCUCAAAACUGUUUUUUCAAAAUUCUGUCAAUUGUGAAGUUCUGGGUGAUGAUAUUGCUGGAGAAAGUAUGGCUAGGAAGUUGUGAUGGGGAAUCCAUAUCGAAGGUGAGGCUGGAAGCAAAAAAUAUGGUCCCACUUGCUUAAAUAAAAGCUUUCAUGGGUCAUAACCCUUUCUUUGUUGGCUCAACAGGAGUUACCAUCGAUGCACUAGACUCGAUUGCAAUGUACGCAAGUAGGUUGAAAGAACAUCAUAUGAACCAAGGGCUUUUGUUACAACAUAUACAUCCAUGAAUGCCAAUCAAAAAGGCAGAUUCAGCAACUUCCAAGACAAGCAUGAAGAAUAAAUCAUCAACUUGUCCAUAGUUUUAAAUUUUGGUUUUUUAUCUGAUAGUUGGACAUAAGGAAUUAUUAUAGAAGUAAAAGCCAUUUAAGAUGAAUGCCUUCCCUAUUAUUUGAAAAUUGGAUUUCUUUCCCAUCCACAAAAAUGUAAACUUGUCCAUUUUGGAGUAAAUUAUAUACUCCAGGCUAUCUGCUACCAAAUGUGGAUUAACACGGCAUGGUUUCUCACCAAAGCCACCUCCCCCACACCGUGGGCCGUGGGGGACUCUCCAGUUUGACACGUACGAUUAGAUAACCUUCUUUUGUCACAACAUUGUAAAACCAGAAAAAAAACCAGGAAGCUCUUCAUAAGGAAAAUAGGAGGUGCAAGAUACCGUUUAACAUUGAGUACGUUUUUCCCCUAUUCUUGAUGUCCAUUAGUAUGACUUUGCGCUCUGCUUGCAUCUGAUCCCUCAUUCACAGUUUUGCUUUCACUAGAAACCACAGCAUUACUUGUCUUCCCCUGUUCCAAUAGAAGAAUUCAUUCAUUUAUACUUUUAGUUAGAUCAACGUCCAAUACAUCCAGCUUAAACUGACACGAGAUAAGCUUUGGAACUAUGAACUUGACACUAUCGAUGAUUUCAGCUUUAGUGUAUUGGUAUCUCUGCAUGUGAAUGACUCGUGGAUUUUACUGCUUGUUACUGGAAAUCAAUAUGAUUGU